rnacentral:rRNA from 1 species
GACGAACGCUGGCGGCGUGCUUAACACAUGCAAGUCGAACGGAAAGGCCCUGCUUUUGUGGGGUGCUCGAGUGGCGAACGGGUGAGUAACACGUGAGUAACCUGCCCUUGACUUUGGGAUAACUUCAGGAAACUGGGGCUAAUACCGGAUAGGAGCUCCUGCUGCAUGGUGGGGGCUGGAAAGUUUCGGCGGUUGGGGAUGGACUCGCGGCUUAUCCGCUUGUUGGUGGGGUAGUGGCUUACCAAGGCUUUGACGGGUAGCCGGCCUGAGAGGGUGACCGGCCACAUUGGGACUGAGAUACGGCCCAGACUGCUACGGGAGGCAACAGUGGGGAAUAUUGCACAAUGGGCGGGAGCCUGAUGCAGCAACGCCGCGUGCGGGAUGACGGGCUUCGGGUUGUAAACCGCUUUCGCCUGUGACGAGGCGUGAGUGACGGUAAUGGGUAAAGAAGCACCGGCUAACUACGUG